rnacentral:tRNA from 1 species
GGUCGUAUGGCCGAGUGGUCUAAGGGUUAGUCUUUUCUUUCAAGGAUGCGUGCGUUCGAACCGCACUGCGACCA